CCAUUGCCAUAUCUGACCCUGGCGUGCGUAAACUAAAAUGGGUACAUUUCUUCAUUAGAUCUGAUAGACUGUUUGUGCCUCCCACUACAAAAUCUGAAACUUGUGGUCCAGUGAACGUGUCGGGCGACUCGGCGUUCGCAUAGACAGCGAAUUAAUUGAGUGAGGGUAAACAAAAACGUGUGCACGCGGCUUGUUGUUUAUUGACUUCAAAGUGCUGUAUUGUGAUAGAAGAAUGCAACGGAAGGUCUGCUUGCAUGAGUCCUUUCUGUGGAGAAGUGGCCUCCAUGGUAUUGGGGAGACAGUUGAUCUAUGUGUACAGAGAGCACACAGGAAGGGAGUGGUUGGUUGACGGCUGGACCUACAUCACAAUCACAGCCCACCCCAUACAUGAUGACUGGAAAAUGGAAAGCAUUGUAUUGCAGACCCGUCUACUAUUCAUCUGUCAUAUCGUAGCGGACACAGGGGAAGAGCUGAAAUCGGCUGUUUAAGAACGGAAGCUGGAAAAGCCAUGUCAUACCACUGCUGUUACAGGCAACGCAAGGAAUAUGGACAUAGCUGUGAGUGAAAGCGGGCUUGUACCACAUCAAGUGUUUAAAAUGAAGUUCAGAUGAAGACAAUGUAGAAUUGAAUGAGAUUACUUGUUUAAUCCAAAGGCAAAAAAAUGUA